UUAGCCCUGCAGCGCCACCCACCAGGGUAAGAGAAACUCACUUCCUGCCCUGGCCCGAGGGACCAACUGGCUGGGC
ensembl:miRNA